UUUUAAUACCGAAUCACAAAUGCCCUCUUUUCACACCUUACUUAUUUUGUGCGGGAUCCAGAGGGAGAGAACUGUUUUAGACUUCUGAAAGUGCUGCAAGCACACCAGCGUUUGACAAGCAUUUGCUAUAUGUCCAUAAAAUGUGAAUGAGAGGCACAUGCUCAAACACUCCAGAUACAAAGGAAUGGAAGACACUAUUGCUCCAGGUGUUUCUGAACUUCAAGUCCAUCAUCCCUACAAACACAGCAAGGAAGUAAUGAUGAAAAGACUUCCAGUGCUUUUAAAGGUGCAUAGCAAGAUGCAAAAAUGAAGAUUCGUUGAGAGGUGCUUCGUACAGGUGCUUUUCUUUUUCUUGCUCAUAUCUGAAAUACUACACCAA
rnacentral:lncRNA from 11 species